rnacentral:rRNA from 1 species
AAAUUGAAGAGUUUGAUCAUGGCUCAGAUUGAACGCUGGCGGCAGGCCUAACACAUGCAAGUCGAACGGUAACAGGAAACAGCUUGCUGUUUCGCUGACGAGUGGCGGACGGGUGAGUAAUGUCUGGGAAACUGCCUGAUGGAGGGGGAUAACUACUGGAAACGGUAGCUAAUACCGCAUAACGUCGUAAGACCAAAGAGGGGGAC